rnacentral:rRNA from 1 species
UACGUAGGGGGCAAGCGUUGUCCGGAUUUAUUGGGCGUAAAGAGCGUGUAGGCGGUCCGGUAAGUCCGCUGUGAAAGUCGGGGGCUCAACCCUCGAAUGCCGGUGGAUACUGUCGGGCUAGAGUGCGGAAGAGGCGAGUGGAAUUCCUGGUGUAGCGGUGAAAUGCGCAGAUAUCAGGAGGAACACCAAUUGCGAAGGCAGCUCGCUGGGACGUUACUGACGCUGAGACGCGAAAGCGUGGGGAGCAAACAGG